AAAUAAACAUGCCUUCGCGGGCUCCUUGAGUGAUUCAUAAUAACUUUUCGAAUCGCAUGGCCUUGCGCCGGCGAUGGUUCAAAUUUCUGCCCUAUCAACUUUCGAUGGCAGGGUCUUGGCCUGCCAUGGUUACAACGGGUAACGGAGGGUUAGGGCUCGACCCCGGAGAAGGAGCCUGAGAAACGGCUACUACAUCCAAGGAAGGCAGCAGGCGCGCAAAUUACCCAAUCCCGAUUCGGGGAGGUAGUGACAAUAAAUACUGAUACAGGGGCUCUUUCGGGUCUUGUAAUUGGAAUGAGUACAAUUUAAAUCCCUUAACGAGGAACAAUUGGAGGGCAAGUCUGGUGCCAGCAGCCGCGGUAAUUCCAGCUCCAAUAGCGUAUAUUAAAGUUGUUGCAGUUAAAAAGCUCGUAGUUGAACCUUGGGCCUGGCUGGCCGGUCCGCCUCACCGCGUGCACUGGUUCGGCCGGGCCUUUCCCUCUGGGGAUCCCCAUGCCCUUCACUGGGUGUGGUGGGGA
rnacentral:rRNA from 1 species